rnacentral:rRNA from 1 species
AUGCCCGCGUUGUAUGAAAGAAGGCCUUUCGGGUUUGUAAAGUACUUUCAGGCGGGGAGUUGAAAGGUUGUUGUGGUUAUUAUAACCACAGCAAUUGAGGCGUUUAACCCCGCAGAAAGAAGCACCCGGCGCUAAACUCCGUGCCCAGCAGCCGCGGUAA